UUCAGAUGAUGGGGAAGCCGGGCAUCACGGAGAGCUGAGAAGACUCGCUUGUUCACACUUACUCGAAAGCAGAAGAGGCCUGGGAACUUCAGCUGGCGACUCUGGUGUUUCUGACUUUGGCUAUCAGCAAACACUGCUGGAGGCUCUGCCCCGUCCACACCCAGCUUCUGUGAGCACGGAGGAGGCAUAAUCUGCAAAGUCUGACACAGGCCAUGCCUAACCAUCCUUGACUGGCUACCUCCAGUGACAUAAAACUGAGAAGCAAAGACACCCAGGAGGCAAGGCUGCAGUCAUUUAGGAGAGUGGACGGAUGCCAGGGCUGUGCUGCCUGCAGCCUUUGUGGGGCUCAGUGACCAGAGGAGCAGCCCAUGCCAAGCCUAGUCCCCAGGGAUGCUGCCUGCGGUGCUCACGCAUCUUAUACAGGGACACAGAGGAACUCUGGGCUCCACCCUGCAGCCUCUGCUCCAGCACGCGGUGGUCCCAGGAGAUGUAGAACCAGCCCUUCCUCUGCAGUUGCACUGGUGAGAAGGUGGCUGUCUGCAAGCCAGGAAGAGGGCCCUCACCAGAACCCAACUCAGCUGGUACCGUCUGCAGCUUCCAAACUCCAGAACUGUGAGAAAUAAAUGUGUGUUGUUAUUAAA
rnacentral:lncRNA from 10 species